rnacentral:rRNA from 1 species
AUGUGUACAGGUGAUUUCCGCAUAGCUUUUGUGUAUGACGGCUGGAGGACCAACUCAGACCUCGCUUGCCUCAGGGUCAGGAGGUCCAAGGCGCCACAAGACCGGGCCAGGAGUUUGCGUAAACCUGGGCCAGGAGUUUAUUUGAUAAAGGUUUCCAGAAUGAUUGGCCACACCUACCUAAAAAGUUCGGAAUUUAACCAUGAGCCCCUUCUGGCCUGGUUCCAUAUUCCAAGGCCCUUCCAUAAUCCAAUUCUUUGUCCCGAACCAUCCAUUGAAGAACAUAGACUGUGCAGAAUAUUAGUUUGUUAUAUUUGCGUCAGAUGA